rnacentral:rRNA from 1 species
UGGGGAAUAUUGCACAAUGGGCGCAAGCCUGAUGCAGCCAUGCCGCGUGUGUGAAGAAGGCCUUCGGGUUGUAAAGCACUUUCAGCUGGGAGGAAGGCGAUAAGGUUAAUAACCUCAUCGAUUGACGUUACCCGCAGAAGAAGCACCGGCUAACUCCGUGCCAGCAGCCGCGGUAAUACGGAGGGUGCAAGCGUUAAUCGGAAUUACUGGGCGUAAAGCGCACGCAGGCGGUCUGUCAAGUCGGAUGUGAAAUCCCCGGGCUCAACCUGGGAACUGCAUUCGAAACUGGCAGGCUAGAGUCUUGUAGAGGGGGGUAGAAUUCCAGGUGUAGCGGUGAAAUGCGUAGGGAACUGGAGGAAUACCGGUGGCGAAGGCGGCCCCCUGGACAAAGACUGACGCUCAGGUGCGAAAGCGUGGGGAGCAAACAGG